UACGUAGGGUGCGAGCGUUAAUCGGAAUUACUGGGCGUAAGGCGUGCGCAGGCGGUUCGCAAAGUCUGAUGUGAAAGCCCCGGGCUCAACCUGGGAACUGCAUUGGAAACUAACGGGCUCGAGUGUGGCAGAGGGGGGUGGAAUUCCACGUGUAGCAGUGAAAUGCGUAGAGAUGUGGAGGAACACCGAUGGCGAAGGCAGCCCCCUGGGCUAACACUGACGCUCAGGCACGAAAGCGUGGGGAGCAAACAGG
rnacentral:rRNA from 1 species